rnacentral:rRNA from 1 species
GAUGAACGCUGGCGGCGUGCCUAAUACAUGCAAGUCGAGCGAACAGAUAAGGAGCUUGCUCCUUUGACGUUAGCGGCGGACGGGUGAGUAACACGUGGGUAACCUACCUAUAAGACUGGAAUAACUCCGGGAAACCGGGGCUAAUGCCGGAUAACAUUUAGAACCGCAUGGUUCUAAAGUGAAAGAUGGUUUUGCUAUCACUUAUAGAUGGACCCGCGCCGUAUUAGCUAGUUGGUAAGGUAACGGCUUACCAAGGCAACGAUACGUAGCCGACCUGAGAGGGUGAUCGGCCACACUGGAACUGAGACACGGUCCAGACUCCUACGGGAGGCAGCAGUAGGGAAUCUUCCGCAAUGGGCUAAAGCCUGACGGAGCAACGCCGCGUGAGUGAUGAAGGUCUUCGGAUCGUAAAACUCUGUUAUUAGGGAAGAACAAAUGUGUAAGUAACUGUGCACGUCUUGACGGUACCUAAUCAGAAAGCCACGGCUAACUACGUG